rnacentral:rRNA from 1 species
GAUGCCUGGCAGCAGGCCUAACACAUGCAAGUCGAGCGGAACGAUCGUACCUUGCUACGAGGCGUCGAGCGGCGGACGGGUGAGUAACGCAUGGAACCCGGCCCGAUAGUGGGGGACACCCUGGGGAAACGCGGGCUAAGCCCGCUAACAUCCUAUGGCAGAAACGAGGGGAUGUUCAGACCUUGCGCUGUCGGAUGAUCCCAUGGCGUCCUAGCUUGUUGGUGAGGUAGUGGCUGCACUACCGGCGACGAUACGUAGCUGGUCUGACAGGAUGAUCAGCCACACUGGGACUGUGACACGGGCCAGACUCCCACGGGAGGCAGCGGUGGGGAAUAAUUGGAGAAUGUGCGAAAGCCUGAUGACCCCAUGCGGCGUGUGCGACGAAAGUGCUCAAGGUGUAAUGCACUUUCAUCUAGGAGGAACGCCAUGAGCUUAAUACUCCUUAGGGAAGACAUCGUUCGCAGAACAAGCGCCGACUAACUCCGUGCCAGCCGCCGCGGUAACUACAGAUGGUGCCUGCUUUACUCAUAAUUACUGGGCGUAGAGCGCGCGUAGGUGGCGAAGUCACCCGGGUGUGAAUGCCCCGGGCUCAACCUGGGGAACGGCAUCUGGAACUGCUUGGCUAGAGUGCAGGAGAGGAAGGUAGAAUUCCCGGUGUAGCGGUGAAAUGCGUAGAGAUCGGGAGGAAUACCAGUGGCGAAGGCGGCCUUCUGGACUGACACUGACACUGAGGUGCGAAAGCGUGGGUAGCAAACAGGAUUAGAUACCCUGGUAGUCCACGCCGUAAA